rnacentral:rRNA from 1 species
AUUGAACGCUGGCGGCAGGCCUAACACAUGCAAGUCGAGCGGAGCGGCGGACGGGUGCGUAAUGCCUAGGAAUCUGCCUGUUCGCGGGGGAUAACGUCCGGAACCGGGCGCUAAUGCCGCAUACUAUCAGCUUAGCCUAGGUCGGCUUAGCUAGUUGGUGGGGUAAAGGCCUACCAAGGCGACGGUCCGUAACUGGUCUGAGAGGAUGAUCAGCCACACUGGAACUGAGACACGGUCCAGAAUCCUACGGGAGGCAGCAGUGGGGAAUAUUGGACAAUGGGCGAAAGCCUGAUCCAGCCAUGCCGCGUGUGUGAAGAAGGUCUUCGGAUUGUAAAGCACUUUAAGUUGGGAGGCGUUACCAACAGAAUAAGCACCGGCUAACUUCGUGCCAGCAGCCGCGGUAAUUC